AUUGAACGCUGGCGGCAUGCCUUACACAUGCAAGUCGAACGGUAACAGGUCUUCGGAUGCUGACGAGUGGCGAACGGGUGAGUAAUACAUCGGAACGUGCCCGAUCGGGGGGGAUAACGAAGCGAAAGCUUUGCUAAUACCGCAUAAGAUCUAAGGAUGAAAGCGGGGGACCGCAAGGCCCUGCGCGAACGGAGCGGCCGAUGGCAGAUUAGGUAGUUGGUGGGAUAAAAGCUUACCAAGCCGACGAUCAGUAGCUGGUCUGAGAGGACGACCAGCCACACUGGGACUGAGACACGGCCCAGACUCCUACGGGAGGCAGCAGUGGGGAAUUUUGGACAAUGGGCGAAAGCCUGAUCCAGCCAUGCCGCGUGCAGGAUGAAGGCCUUCGGGUUGUAAACUGCUUUUGUACGGAACGAAAAGACUCUGGUUAAUACCUGGGGUCCAUGACGGUACCGUAAGAAUAAGCACCGGCUAACUCCGUGCCAGCAGCCGCAGUAACAC
rnacentral:rRNA from 1 species